GCCCUUAUAGUUUAAUGGCAAAACACAUCAGUGGUAAUGAUGAAAUACAAGUUCGAUUCUCGUUAAGGGCA
rnacentral:tRNA from 1 species